rnacentral:tRNA from 1 species
GCACUGGUAGCUUAGUCCUAAAAGCAUCGGUCUUGUAAUCCGGAGACGGAGGGUUAGGCCCCCUCCCAGUGCC